rnacentral:rRNA from 1 species
UACGUAGGGUGCAAGCGUUGUCCGGAAUUAUUGGGCGUAAAGAGCUCGUAGGCGGUCUGUCGCGUCGGAUGUGAAAACCCGGGGCUUAACCCCGGGCCUGCAUUCGAUACGGGCAGACUCGAGUGUGGUAGGGGAGACUGGAACUCCUGGUGUAGCGGUGAAAUGCGCAGAUAUCAGGAAGAACACCGGUGGCGAAGGCAGCUCGCUGGGACGGUACUGACGCUGAGACGCGAAAGCGUGGGGAGCAAACAGG